CCGUGGCAGGGGGAUGAACAGAAUGAGCUUUAAGGUCCCUUCCAACCCAAAGCAUUCCAGGAUUCUGUGCCUCCAUGCCACACUUAAUUCCAGGUGGUGCUGAAGUCACAAUCUCAGCAGCCCCAGGCAGGUCCCUUCUGAAGCCAUGGCUUGGUUGAGGGGCACAGGUCCUGUGCCCACGGAGUGAGAGGCUUUGGACAUGAUUGGAGCUGGAGCCUGUGGGCAGAGGGGGAGUGCGUGUGGCUUGCAACACUUGCCCAAAUAAAUAUCCCAUCUCUCCCAGGAAACAGAUGCACAUGGAUCAAACCAAGAAAGCCUGUUUAUUUUUUCCCUGGUGACUCAAUGCCGUGCAUAUGUCAGCCUGUGGCAUUUUCCACUCCUCAAAGAAAACAAACUCACACAUGACAUUAAAGCCUGGUUUUUCUAGAAGUUGAGGGGGGGGGGGGGGGUUUCAAGAUGAAAGUGCCCAAGCAAAAUAUCCUUUGGCCAGAAAUAAAACAGGUAACUUUUCAAGGUAAUGAGAUGUUUGUGGUCAAGUUCUGAUCUCUGUUACACUGAUCCACGUCCGGGCUAAGCCCCUGCAGGAGAUGAAAGCCUCUGCUGUAUCUGGUGGGUAAAACAAAUUCUCUCAUGGUGUAAACCAGUUGUUUGUUAAAACCUUUAAAGCUCCCAAAACUCUUGGGGUUUGUGUUUCCUUUGGGUUUGUGUUUCCUUGGGGUUUGUGUUUUCUGAGCUGCUUAAAACAUCAGGAGGGUGGGGUGGCCUUGGGCCCCUCCCCAAGUGAUCUCACCUGCCCCAGGGCCUCUUUUCCGAGGAAUUUCUGGGUCCCAUCUGCACAUUCACAGGGAAAGGACGGUUUUCUCUUCAAGGGAAAAAAAAAAUAAGGAGUCUGAACAGUGGUUUUUUCGUAGGCUUUGAAGACAAAGCCCCUCCUGAGUCCACACCUUGGACUUGCAGCUCAAACCCACGGCCCAGACCCAAUGUCCCCCAGCACAGAGGCACAAGAAGCACAAAAAAAGCUUCUCUUGCUUUUUCUGCUCCCCAAAACAGCACCUGAAAAGCAGCAAAAAGGGGAGGGAAAAUCAUCUUGUUACGGUGCCGGGCUCCAAAAUGGUGUUUCCUUGCUGAAAAAAUAAAUAAAAGGGAAUUUUAA